rnacentral:misc_RNA from 1 species
AACGCAUCUUGUGCCUUUUGGUAUUCUGAAAGGCACACUUGUUUGAGUGUCGUGAUUACCUCGAAUUCUUUGUCAUAGAAGAAAUCGGAUUAUGAGUGUUGCUGUGCUACAGCUCACUUGAAAUGAAUUAGUCUCUUUCUGUCGGAUUGACUUGGUGUAAUAAAACUUUCACCAAAGAAUGCUUCUGCAGCUGACUUGAAGGGUACUGCCAAAUGUUAAACCCAAUUUAGACCUCAAAUCAAGUGGGACUACCCGCUGAACUUAA